CAGCAGCCGCCGCGGGAAUACCGAGGGUGCGAGCGUUAAUCGGAUUUACUGGGCGUAAAGCGUGCGUAGGCGGCUUUUUAAGUCGGAUGUGAAAUCCCUGAGCUUAACUUAGGAAUUGCAUUCGAUACUGGGAAGCUAGAGUAUGGGAGAGGAUGGUAGAAUUCCAGGUGUAGCGGUGAAAUGCGUAGAGAUCUGGAGGAAUACCGAUGGCGAAGGCAGCCAUCUGGCCUAAUACUGACGCUGAGGUACGAAAGCAUGGGGAGCAAACAGGAUUAGAUACCCGCGUAGUCCCUGUCUCUUAUAC
rnacentral:rRNA from 1 species